GAUUAAUGUUUUUUGCAGCUAUCAUAUCAAAUUGUUGAUGCACUAAUUUGGCUUGGAAUAUGGGACAUUAUAAAUGAGUUUAGGAAGAAAAAAUUGAAGCUGAGACCUGUGACAUAUUUAAGUGGUUCUUAUAGUUCCCCAGAUGUACCUUAUGGAUAUCUUUGGAGUCCUCAUCUUGUUCCCAAACCGAAAGGUCAAUUCCCUGUUAUCCAUUAUAUUGCUGUUUAUUGAAGGAGUACUGUAGUGUCAAGUCUGCACAUGUAUUUGUAACUUAUUUAUUAGUUUCUGUCCGGUGGCAAAUUUCUGGAGUUUUUUUUGUUACAUUUGAUGCUAGAGAUACUUUGGUAUACUAAUAGUUGCUAUUUUUUUCUUUUAGCUCAUAUUAUUCUUGUUCUUUUUCUUUUUCAUUUUUCUUUCUUUUUUUUUUAAUUUUAAUUAAAUUUAUCUUCCAUCUUUGUUGCUUCUUCUUCUUCUUCUUCUACUACUACUGGUGUUACUACCACUACUACUACCUUUGUAAGUUUGUAACCUCAUAUUCAACCAGUUCUGAAUGCAAAAUGUUUCAUUCUACAUUUAUUAAUGUUGUUAUGUGAGAACAUGUUACAUAUUGAUAGAUCAAGCUUCAUUGGUAAAAAGAACUGAACAAAAAGCUGCUUAUGAUUAGCUUUAUGGUUGGGUUGGGAAAAGGAAAGCGUGUAGAUAGAGUCCUAUAAUAGGCAGUGGAAAGGUUUUGAGGUUAGUAGACGAAGUGGGGCUGAAAUUAGAUCCGAUCUUUAAAGUGGCAAGUUGUUGGAAAUUUUGGAGAGCAUUUAUAAUUGAUUUUACAGGCAAUACAAAAUUUUUUCUGUGAGAACUAUCAAAAGAAGCACCAUCAGUAUUUCUCUUGUGGGGAAUUAGGUUCUUCUGAUAAAUUGUUUGGUGCAAAGGUACGAGUUCUUCUGGAAAAUUGAACUAAUAUUUAAAUGUUGACUGUACAUUUUCCCCAUUGGAUCUUCAUAGAAUUCUUUUUGGUUAAGUUUAGCUAUUAUCAUUAUAAAAAUUGAAGGUAUUCCAUCAAGAGCAAAAUUUAGCCACUUAGUGUUUCUAGAGCAACAUUUAAAAUAAUCCUCUUGGUUAAAUUUCAACGAAUAUUUUGAAAUGAGAUAGAAUAAUUAUUUUAAAUUAUUAAUGAGUCAAUCAAUCCCUGGAGAUGCUGUGUGAAGUCAUAUUGGAUGAUUUUGUGUUGCAUAAUUCUCCUCCCCUCCUAUUUUUCUCCUCUUUUAUGGUAUUUAUUUUCCAUGAAACAUAUAUCUUAGUCUUCAUAAUGCUGUCUGUAUGCUUGGCUCGUUUGAUCUGCUAGCUUGAGUUCCAUUAGGGUGUCUAGAUGCUUCUUGGGAUAGUUUGGUCUUGCCCUUUGUAUUUUGGAUCACAACUUUGGUUUUAUGUUCCUUAUUCUUCAUGCUAUUUUGCUUAUUUUAUUUGCUUUGUAAAGAGAUUUUGACGGUGAUCAAAUUUUUUAUUUUUUUCUAUUUGUUCUAGAAGUCUGGUUGUUGGGUUGUAUUUUUGUUUUUCUUUUCUGUUUUUCUUUUCCCAAAGACAGAUUAGAAAUUUGAGUUUAUUUAUGAGUCUAUUUACUUCUGUUUUCCUGAUUUGAUUUUAAUAUGCAUUUCUGGAUUACUAAUUCCUUCUAGUUUUCUAAUAACUGAUUAGAAUUCCAUAAUUGAGGUGAAUAUAUUAGCAUGCCAAUUCACAUUUCUAUAGUGAGUUAUGUUGCUUGACUUUCUUGACCUCAUUGUGAGCAGUGAUUGGAUCUGCAUCUGAUUUGCCUAAAAUUUUACCUUCUAAAUACCUUGUGGGUCUUUCCCUGUGUUUCUGCAACAUGUGGUCUCUUUUACCAUCCACAUUGUGUUGCAAAACUGCUCCACCGUAAGAGUGCAGCUGAGGCAGAAGAGCUUCGGAAGAAGAUAGCUGCUGGGGAAUUUUUCACAUGUCCCAUUCAUAAAUGCGUUAUCUGCAAACUGGGUGAAAAUAAGUUGGAACCUGAUUUGCAAUUUGCAGUUUGCAAUUUGCAGUUUGCAGACAUUGUUCCAAGUCGCACCACAGAAAAUGCUUGCCGGGGAAUAUUACUUUUGAAGAUCUGGAGGAUGAGGACAUCCUGCAAAGGGCUUGGGAAGGUCUUAUUCCAAACCGUAUUUUGAUUUAUUACUUAGAACAUGAGAUUGAUGAUGAAAUUAGAACUCCAAGUAGAAACCACAUAAAGUUCCCAGAUGAUGGACAAAAUAAGGAAAGACAAGCAUUAGAGCUACUCUUGAGCAAAAGGAAAGUUUUGCAGAAGGAGAGAGCUCUGGCCUCAACAGAUGCUUCCAGAAAGAGAACUCUUGGGAAGGUAUAGAAAGGGGUGGAUUUGUCUUCAAUUACCACAGUGGAUGAUUCUUCAAAGAACAGUGCCAGAAAAUUGACUCGAUCCAAUUAUUCAAAGAAACAGAAAGUGGGGGAUAUAACCAGAAAGCCUCAGAACAACACUGGCUCUACAAAAGUCAAUAAGUCCUUCACUGAUGGAAACAGGUUUUCCUUGGUGUGCUGAUUGGUGAAUUUCAGAUUUUUUUGGUUUUUUUGUUUUUUUUGUUUUUUAAAGAUUGGGAUGAAUUUUAUAACUUAAAUAUGCUUUUUAUGAACAUGUACAGUCGAAUUGUUAUGUAAAAUAUUGAAUUUGAUGGUUUUAUCAACUUUUAUUCUUAUUUUCUGGUA